rnacentral:rRNA from 1 species
AGUGAACGCUGGCGGUAUGCCUAACACAUGCAAGUCGAACGGCAGCACAGUAAGAGCUUGCCCUUACGGGUGGCGAGUGGCGGACGGGUGAGGAAUACAUCGGAAUCUACUUUUUCGUGGGGGAUAACGUAGGGAAACUUACGCUAAUACCGCAUAUGUCCUACGGGUGAAAGCAAGGGAUCUUCGGACCUUUCGCGAUUCAAUUAGCCGAUGUCGGAUUAGCUAGUUGGCGGGGUAAAGGCCCACCAAGGCGACGAUCCGUAGCUGGUCUGAGAGGAUGAUCAGCCACACUGGAACUGAGACACGGUCCAGACUCCUAAGGGAGGCAGCAGUGGGGAAUAUUGGACAAUGGGCGGAAGCCUGAUCCAGCCAUACCGCGGGGGUGAAGGAGGCCUUCGGGUUGGAAAGCCUUUUUGUUGGGAAAGAAAAGCAGCAGGUUAAUACCCCGCUGUUCUGACGGUACCCAAAGAAUAAGCACCGGCUAACUUCGUG